GCUAUCUGGAUAGCUUCAGGCAGACCAUCACGGGUGGCCACAUACACAUCCAACCAAUGGAUAGGCUGACCUUGAGACUAAGACUCCUAUACAAAAAUAGCAUAAUAUUACUAAGUAAAAAUGUGAUAUAUUUUCUAUAAUUCAUGAUUGUAAACAUAUUAAAACUUGUAAAUACGUACCCUGGCAGUGAUAUGCUGCAACUGUGAAAUACUACCGCCCUUGUAUGUCCCUUUAGCCUUUUUGCCAUCGAGUACACCCGAGGAUCUGUUGGUGGCGGCAGUCUUUUGUCUUUUCACCCAGCUCUCAGCUCUCUAUUGGGCACACAUCUCAGCCCAUAUGGCCUAGAUGCACCACCAGGGACUAUGCUCGUGCAUGUAAUCUUCUCCUUGGCCUGGAUGGUCGAUCUCGGCAUUGUGAAGGGCUUUUUGUCUUUC
rnacentral:lncRNA from 1 species